ensembl:lncRNA
GCCCUUUGCCGCUUCUGAAUCCACCUCAUUAGUCGGCCGAGUAAGUGCUGAUCAUCUCAAAAGUGUCUUCAGCACACAACAGUGUCUUCCUGAUGUGCGGCAGGAACGUUUUGGAACUGGGGAGUAUUUUUCACCGCAGAGAACCGAAGAGGACAAUGCCUCCAUUUUGUGCUGGACGUUAUGAAGUGGGACUCAGACGUCACUUAGGCAGCACCAGUAAACAUGGAAGCUCUUCGCUGAUCCACAAAGCAAAAACUGUAGUUCAACACAAGCUGCAUCUCGAGG